AACAGGAUUAGAUACCCUGGUAGUCCACGCUGUAAACGAUGUCGACUUGGAGGUUGUGCCCUUGAGGCGUGGCUUCCGGAGCUAACGCGUUAAGUCGACCGCCUGGGGAGUACGGCCGCAAGGUUAAAACUCAAAUGAAUUGACGGGGGCCCGCACAAGCGGUGGAGCAUGUGGUUUAAUUCGAUGCAACGCGAAGAACCUUACCUACUCUUGACAUCCAGAGAAUUUGCUAGAGAUAGCUUAGUGCCUUCGGGAACUCUGAGACAGGUGCUGCAUGGCUGUCGUCAGCUCGUGUUGUGAAAUGUUGGGUUAAGUCCCGCAACGAGCGCAACCCUUAUCCUUUGUUGCCAGCACGUAAUGGUGGGAACUCAAAGGAGACUGCCGGUGAUAAACCGGAGGAAGGUGGGGAUGACGUCAAGUCAUCAUGGCCCUUACGAGUAGGGCUACACACGUGCUACAAUGGCAUAUACAAAGAGAAGCGAACUCGCGAGAGCAAGCGGACCUCAUAAAGUAUGUCGUAGUCCGGAUUGGAGUCUGCAACUCGACUCCAUGGAGUCGGAAUCGCUAGUAAUCGUAGAUCAGAAUGCUACGGUGAAUACGUUCCCGGGCCUUGUACACACCGCCCGUCACACCAUGGGAGUGGGUUGCAAAAGAAGUAGGUAGCUUAACCUUCGGGAGGGCGCUUACCACUUUGUGAUUCAUGACUGGGGUGAAGUCGUAACAAGGUAACC
rnacentral:rRNA from 1 species